rnacentral:rRNA from 1 species
AUACGGAGGGUGCAGGCGUUACUCGGAAUCACUGGGCGUAAAGCGUGCGCAGGCGGGCUGAUAAGUUGGAUGUGAAAGCCUACGGCUCAACCGUAGAACUGCAUCCAAAACUGUCAGUCUAGAGUGUGGGAGAGGAAGAUGGAAUUAGUUGUGUAGGGGUAAAAUCCGUAGAGAUAACUAGGAAUACCAAAAGCGAAGGCAAUCUUCUGGAACACUACUGACGCUGAGGCGCGAAGGCGUGGGGAGCAAACAGGAUUAGAAACCCCAGUAGUCC